rnacentral:rRNA from 1 species
CAUCUAGAUUAGGGUUUGAUCCUGGCUCAAAUGAACGCUAGCGGCAGGCCUAAUACAUGCAAGUCGAGGGGCAGCAGGGGUAGCAAUACUCGCUGGCGACCGGCAAACGGGUGCGGAACACGUACGCAACCUUCCUUUAAGCGGGGAAUAGCCCAGAGAAAUUUGGAUUAAUACCCCAUAAGAAUGUGAUCUGGCAUCAGGUAACGUUUAAAGAUUUAUCACUUAAAGAUGGGCGUGCGUCUGAUUAGGUAGUUGGUGAGGUAACGGCUCACCAAGCCGACGAUCAGUAACUGGCGUGAGAGCGCGACCAGUCACGCGGGCACUGAGACACGGGCCCGACUCCUACGGGAGGCAGCAGUAAGGAAUAUUGGUCAAUGGACGCAAGUCUGAACCAGCCAUGCCGCGUGGAGGAUGAAGGCCCUCUGGGUUGUAAACUUCUUUUAUCUGGGACGAAACACUUCUUUUCUAACGAGCUUGACGGUACCAGGUGAAUAAACACCGGCUAACUCCGUGCCACCAGCCGCGGUAAUACGGAGGGUGCAAGCGUUAUCCGGAUUCACUGGGUUUAAAGGGUGCGUAGGCGGACAUGGAAGUCCGUGGUGAAAUCUCCGAGCUUAACUCGGAGCUGCCAUGGAUACUAUAUGUCUUGAAUGUUGUGGAGGUUAGCGGAAUAUGUCAUGUAUCGGUGAAAUGCAUAGAUAUGACAUAAAACACCAAUUG